GUUAGGAAUAUUGGGCAAUGGGGGAAACCCUGACCCAGCAACGCCGCGUGAGGGAAGAAGGUUUUCGGAUUAUAAACCUCUGUCCUUGGUGAAGAAGAAAGUGACGGUAGCCAAGGAGGAAGCCCCGGCUAACUACGUGCCAGCAGCCGCGGUAAUACGUAGGGGGCGAGCGUUGUCCGGAAUGACUGGGCGUAAAGGGCGUGUAGGCGGCCGAUUAAGUCCGGAGUGAAAGUCCUGCUUUCAAGGUGGGAAUUGCUUUGGAAACUGGUUGGCUUGAGUGCGGAAGAGGUAAGUGGAAUUCCCAGUGUAGCGGUGAAAUGCGUAGAGAUUGGGAGGAACACCAGUGGCGAAGGCGACUUACUGGGCCGUAACUGACGCUGAGGCGCGAAAGCGUGGGGAGCGAACAGGAUUAGAAACCCCUGUAGUCC
rnacentral:rRNA from 1 species